ensembl:lncRNA
GGCAGGGCUUAAAACUGGGUGAACUCUGAGGUCCUUUUCAACCCCAACCAUUCUGUGAUUCUAUGAAAUGAGUGGACUGGGGCAUGGAGGCAGAGAGGAAGAAAGUAGAGUCAGACCAGUCAGAAAUAGUAGCCACCUAAAGGUCUAACUUGUGAAGUAACCAUUAAAAAAAAAACACAAUGCCACUAAUUAAAGAGCAGGGAGAAAUUAAAUUCUUGCUCCUUCUAUGCAGGCUUGUUAGAAGGGAUUCUUCUACAGAGACAAAACGAAGACCUGACCUUAGAGCUAGUCAUUCCUAUGAAGAGGCUACACAUAAAUAUACUGCCCAUAAGGCCACACAGGAAUCUCAGCACUGAGACCCUCAAACUGCAAUGGAGGGAACACAGCUGCCACAAAUGCGACCUUCUCUUCCCAAAGAACUGUUGCCAGGACAGAGGAAGAAUGAGCACGCCCUAUGGAGAAAUGUUGAACCUCUGUUGUCAACGCAAACCAAAAGACAAUGAAAAAGCUGAAAUGAGCACCAUGAAGCAGAGACACACCUCGAAUGCUGCCCCAUGACAGAAGUGAACUCUGAGCUCAGCUACUCGUGACAGAUGACAGAUACCCAACUCCAGCAAAGUGAAGGGGAAGACCUAAGACAGGAGUAGAAAAGCAGUGCUUGGGGUUUUCCAACACACCUUGCAAGAAAAAAAGGUUCCAAAAGACUUAGAAGAAAGCCUCCAUUUCCAGACAAGCUUCAUGGAUUCCACAGGUUUACACAUUCAUGAAAAUUUUGGCUGUAGACACAUGUGCUUGGGGAUUUUCAAGUUAAUCUUCAUAAAUUCAGAGGUUCUUGAUUAUUUCAAUUCCUUGGGUAGAACAGAGCUACUUAUGUUCCAAACAUGAAAUACUUCAAAGCGAAUCCUUCUUCUGGCUUUUAAGAUGUACACAGUGAUCCGUGCACUUACGAGUAAACAGUGCGUUUAACGGUAUGUCAAAAUGUAUGCAGAGGACAUUGACUGUCAUGCAUUUAAAGAUAUCUCAAAGCAUGGAAACAGUGACGAGGGCCUUGCUUUUGCACAGGGCUGUUUCACGGACAUGUGAAGGAGGAGGAAGAAGCCCGCAGCCUUCCAAACCGCAGCGGGGUGCUCAGGCUUUGUUUCCCACAACUCUAGGACUGCAUGUCUCCUAUGGGAAACUGCAACUUCUCAGGUCGAAUUACUGACUGAGGACACCUAGUGGGAUUUUGGUAGACAUCAACGCCACAAAAACUCAUUUCUCUAAGGGACUGAUUUAUUAAUAACCAUUACUAGCAUUAAGCCUUUUUAAAACAGUCAACAAUAACAAAAAACCCUAUAUACAUUAAAAAAAAAAUCAGCUAUUGAUGCCAUAGAAAUAUCCCAGAGUAUCUUCCCAAAUGUUUGCUAAUCUUGGUCACUCCAUCACAAGCUCUUUUUUUCCUUUCCACAUUCUUUGCUCAAACUGCUAUUUCUCAAAGUUUUAGGCCAAUGGGCCACUGUUACAUUUUGAUAGUGUUUCAUGGACCUAAGUCCAUCAGUAGAGUCAAUCAGGACUAGCA